CCGUCAAUGCCAAAGGAAGUGGAAUUGGUGUUGUCAUUACCACUCCGAAAGGUGCCCACAUGCCUUUCACCGCUCGUCUGACUUUUGAAUGCACCAAUAUUUGAUGGGGCCGUCAAUGCCAAAGGAAGUGGAAUUGGUGUUGUCAUUACCACUCCGAAAGGUGCCCACAUGCCUUUCACCGCUCGUCUGACUUUUGAAUGCAC
rnacentral:lncRNA from 1 species